UACGGAGGGUGCAAGCGUUAUCCGGAUUUACUGGGUUUAAAGGGUGUGUAGGCGGGUUUAUAAGUCAGGGGUGAAAUCUCCGGGCUCAACCCGGAAACUGCCAUUGAUACUAUAGGUCUUGAAUAUUGUGGAGGUGGGCGGAAUGUGUCAUGUAGCGGUGAAAUGCUUAGAGAUGACACAGAACACCGAUUGCGAAGGCAGCCCACUACGCAACUAUUGACGCUGAGGCACGAAAGCGUGGGGAGCAAACAGG
rnacentral:rRNA from 1 species